rnacentral:tRNA from 1 species
GCCUUCGUGUUGUAGUGGUCAGCACACUCGACGCGUAACCGAGAGGUCCGCGGUUCGACUCCUGGUAAAGGCA